GACGAACGCUGGCGGCGUGCUUAACACAUGCAAGUCGAACGGAAAGGCCCCUUUGGGGGUACUCGAGUGGCGAACGGGUGCGUAACACGUGAGUAACCUGCCCUUGCCUUCGGGAUAACUUCAGGAAACUGGGGCUAAUACCGGAUAGGAAUCCUUGCUGCAUGGGGGGGGUUGGAAAGCUUCGGCGGUUUUGGCUGGACUCGCGGCUUAUCAGCUUGUUGGUGGGGUAGUGGCUUACCAAGGCUUUGACGGGUAGCCGGCCUGUGAGGGCGACCGGCCACAUUGGGACUGAGGUACGGCCCAGACUCCUACUGGAGGCAGCAGGGGGGAAUAUUGCACAAUGGGCGGAAGCCUGAUGCAGCAACGCCGCGUGCGGGAUGACGGCCUUCGGGUUGUAAACCGCUUUCAGCAGGGGCGAAGCUUGUGGUGACGGUACCUGCAGAAGAAGCACCGGCUAACUACGUG
rnacentral:rRNA from 1 species